GGAGAAGCAAGGUAAACACGCAAAAAAAAUAAUGGGUUUUGACGAGAUCUGGAUCAAAAUCUAUCACGAAGUCAUUGUAUUCAGGAUAUACAGCAGGAGAAAGACGGAGAUAAAGAGAAAUACAAACCUCAAAUGCUGCAAAGAGAAGUAGAAGAUACAAGUCGAGACUUGGGAACACGAGAAAGUGAAACGUGUAAUAAUGAUAUGUUUUGGUAUUGAGUGAGUUGCAAGGAAUCGGGGGCAUUAGACUACUGAGUCAGUGUUUCUUGUAGGGGAUAUAAGUCAAAAGUUGCAGGCGGUGAUUUGUUACGAAUAUUUUAUCUAAGGAAAAUGACAAAUUUUUUGUAAUUAAAGCUUAAAAUUACGAUAUAUAAGUUGCUGUAAAAAGUAAUAACAUCUUUAAAUUAUUGAUAAGGAUUUCAAGUUGGCCUGGAAUUAAAUCUUUUCACAUUCUCUUGUUACUUCAGUUGUUAGCAAAUCUUUGCUAUGUACACUGCCACUACUUGUACAUUUUGUACAUUAUAGGGAAUUAGAGCAUACAAUUGGCUAUUAUAUGAUUAAAUCAAAUCGAGAAAUGUUAAGAAUAAGAUUUGCUAGACCAAUCCGAAGCUCAUAACAGUAGAUACUUUGCAGAUCUUAUAAGAAAAAGCCAUAACAAAAAGAAAGAGAGAGAAGGAAAACAAUAGAAUUUAUUAUUUAGGGAGAAGGCAAGAGGUUUUAUUACAAGAGUGAUGAGAAA